ACACAAAACAAAAACAUACUAUAUCAAGGCGAGUGAAUAGUCACCAGUCUACCAGUCCAAACAACCCAAAGUCUGUCCAAUUUAUACAAUAUAAACACAAAUAAAAAAUAAACCUAAACAAGUAUAGAUCAUAUGUCAUAUAUUCUACUAUGACAGUGUGAGCACGCAAAUUUCAGGAGGUAAAUGAAUGAGCAUUUCAUAUCACCAUUUCACUUCAAAGCUACAUCCAUUCAUGGUUCGAAUAUGUACCUGGAAUUGCAAAGUAACAGAAGAUAAGAGGAGGACCAGCAGCAAAUGGCGAAACAACAGUUCAAAUUCGAUUAUAUAGUCCAUCAAACAACAACAAUAUCAAUCCAAAAUUGAAAUAUGAAACCACAACACCAAUAACCACCAAACAGACUUGAAUAAACCCCAAAAUGAUUCGAACUUAGGCUUCUGAACCUCAGCAACCAGAAAUAAUCCAAACAGUUUGAACAAAACCCAAAAUGACUUGAAAUUGAAUCUGAAACGCUAGGAAUUCAGAUUAACUAGCUGAACCUGCGACCAAACUUAAAAAUAUCAAUGUAAUACUAUGUUUUUUGGGAGUUUCUGCUAUAUAUUUUUUGAUUUUUCUGAAAAAGUUUAAAAUCUAAAAGAGAUUUCAAAUUCUAGAUCUGGUUUUUGAAUCUGAACCUGUAGGAUAUUCUGGGGGGAAUUUUUGGAGGCUAAAAACUUAUGACUCAAGACAUUGGAUAUGCCUUUUAUAGGCAAAUAUGAGGUCAUCCCUCAAUUUUCUAUUUUCUUUUCAAUCCCUGUUUAUUUUUCAGACUUUGACUACUUAAUCAUUUAUUUAUUAACUUUCUACUUAAGUCACUACACCUAAUUUUUGAAUUUCCAUCUUAAACCCCAUUCUAGAAUAUUCUAGUGAAUUCCAUUUUAUUUUUUAAAAGAUUAUCUGCCCUUGAAUUACCUGACUUACCCUUUUAUUCCAUUGAAACUACUAACAAUAGUUAACUGACCCAGCCCAUUAACCAUGAUUAAAGCAACUGACUAUAGUUAAACUAAAAUGUUUCAGCAGUAUCCAAACAAACAACAAACUAAUCAACUACUGAAAUAAUGUGAAUCAAUAUCAAUGAGACAAAACACAUAUCUAAAAGAAUUUGGAACCAAAUUGGACUAACAUACAAAAUCACCAAACAAAAUUAAUCAAAAUCAAAACUAAACUAAACUAAAAAAGAUCAACAGGAACGAAUUCACACCAACAUUUAUACCAACCACAAUCAGAAAGAAAAACAGGGGGAAUAUCUAUUAAUAAUCAAACAGUUAAAUGAAAUCCUAUUCUUAAUCAAAACAUAUUAAGAUAACUCAGGAAACAAUAUCACCAUGAAUUCAAAACAAAACUUAAACUAAGAUAACAGGGUCAAGAUCAUAUCUAAACUAAAAAACAAUUAUAAGAACAGAUUCAAUCAUGAACAAAGUUUAAAUCAAUAGAAAUAAAAAAUUAAACCAGAUUAAAAGAAUAAUUUUGACUAGCAAAAAUCAGAAACUAGAAGAAUACUUACUGAUUCUGAAAUUUAAACUCGCCUGACCAUGAAUUGGGUCUUCAAAUGAUGUUAUGCGUUUGUUUUUGCCAAGAACAAACACAUAGCAUAAUUCUAAAACCCACUCGAAAACUUAGCUAGCCUUGAAAACUCGAACAGACUUGACAACAAGAAACCCUAGAUCUAAGAUUCGUGAAGACCUGGUGGGAUUCAUGGGAAACUGGCUAGGGGUUUAGGAAUAAGUAGGUGAGAAGAGUGUCUGAUGUGAUUUUUGAGAGAUUUGGAGGAUUUAUAUUUUUUUACCGGAUUUUAGAUCUAAAAUUCAAGGAAUUCUGAAAUGAUUCGAGGGAAAUGGAGUUGAUAUUUGGCAUGAGGGGAGGGAAAGGAUCCUAGGUGUUCGUUUGGGCCCGGUUCAUGGUGGCGCCGCUGGUGGAAUGAGUGUAGAUUUCAAAGGCGGUGGUCUCUAGGGUUUGCAGAGAAAGGGGAUGUGAG
rnacentral:lncRNA from 1 species